UUCAUGGAGAGUUUGAUCCUGGCUCAGGACGAACGCUGGCGGCGUGCCUAAUACAUGCAAGUCGAGCGCAGGAAACUGACGGAACUCUUCGGAGGGAAGGCAGUGGAAUGAGCGGCGGACGGGUGAGUAACACGUAAGGAACCUGCCUCAAGGAUUGGGAUAACUCCGAGAAAUCGGAGCUAAUACCGGAUAGUUC
rnacentral:rRNA from 1 species